rnacentral:rRNA from 1 species
GACGAACGCUGGCGGCGUGCUUAACACAUGCAAGUCGAACGAAGUGGCGAACGGGUGAGUAACGCGUAAUCAACCUGCCCUUCAGAGGGGGACAACAGUGGGAAACGACUGCUAAUACCGCAUACUGAAGGAGGGGAGUGCGGCUGAUUAGCUAGUUGGAGGGGUACAGGCCCACCAAGGCGAUGAUCAGUAGCCGGUCUGAUCGGUUCACCGGCCCCAUUUGGACUCAGACACGGCCCAGACUCCUACGGGAUGCAGCAGUGAGGAAUCUUCCGCACUGGACGAAAGUCUGACGGAGCAACGCCGCGUGAGUGAUGACGGCCUUCGGGUUUUAAAGCUCUGUUAAUCGGGACGCGGUACCGGAAUAGAAAGCCACGGCUAACUACGUGCCAGCAGCCGCGGUAAUUC